UAACGGUUAAGAGUGAUAACGCCAAAACAUCGAACAAAAUCAGAUAUUUUGGGACAAGGUGUCACGGAUAUUAUUGAGCUAUAUCUCAUUCGAUUCGUUGAACUAUUGCGAGUAAAACGUAGUACUACGUUUGGUGAAAUUUAAUUUGUUGCAGACGAUCGAGAUCAUGAUGAAAGGAAAAUAGUCGAAAUUUA